UACGUAGGCAGCAAGCGUUGUUCGGAGUUAUUGGGCGUAAAGAGCUCGUAGGCGGUCUGUUGCGUCCGCUGUGAAAACUCGGGGCUUAACCCCGAGCCUGCAGUGGAUACGGGCAGACUAGAGGUAGGUAGGGGAGAAUGGAAUUCCCGGUGUAGCGGUGAAAUGCGCAGAUAUCGGGAGGAACACCGGUGGCGAAGGCGGUUCUCUGGGCCUGUACUGACGCUGAGGAGCGAAAGCGUGGGGAGCGAACAGG
rnacentral:rRNA from 1 species